rnacentral:tRNA from 1 species
GGACCAGUGGCGCAACGGAUAACGCGCCUGACUACGGAUCAGGAGGUUCCAGGUUCGAAUCCUGCCUAGCUCA